GCAGUCGAACGAACUCUGGUAUUGAUUGGUGCUUGCAUCAUGAUUUACAUUUGAGUGAGUGGCGAACUGGUGAGUAACACGUGGGAAACCUGCCCAGAAGCGGGGGAUAACACCUGGAAACAGAUGCUAAUACCGCAUAACAACUUGGACCGCAUGGUCCGAGCUUGAAAGAUGGCUUCGGCUAUCACUUUUGGAUGGUCCCGCGGCGUAUUAGCUAGAUGGUGGGGUAACGGCUCACCAUGGCAAUGAUACGUAGCCGACCUGAGAGGGUAAUCGGCCACAUUGGGACUGAGACACGGCCCAAACUCCUACGGGAGGCAGCAGUAGGGAAUCUUCCACAAUGGACGAAAGUCUGAUGGAGCAACGCCGCGUGAGUGAAGAAGGGUUUCGGCUCGUAAAACUCUGUUGUUAAAGAAGAACAUAUCUGAGAGUAACUGUUCAGGUAUUGACGGUAUUUAACCAGAAAGCCACGGCUAACUACGUGCCAGCAGCCGCGGUAAUACGUAGGUGGCAAGCGUUGUCCGGAUUUAUUGGGCGUAAAGCGAGCGCAGGCGGUUUUUUAAGUCUGAUGUGAAAGCCUUCGGCUCAACCGAAGAAGUGCAUCGGAAACUGGGAAACUUGAGUGCAGAAGAGGACAGUGGAACUCCAUGUGUAGCGGUGAAAUGCGUAGAUAUAUGGAAGAACACCAGUGGCGAAGGCGGCUGUCUGGUCUGUAACUGACGCUGAGGCUCGAAAGUAUGGGUAGCAAACAGGAUUAGAUACCCUGGUAGUCCAUACCGUAAACGAUGAAUGCUAAGUGUUGGAGGGUUUCCGCCCUUCAGUGCUGCAGCUAACGCAUUAAGCAUUCCGCCUGGGGAGUACGGCCGCAAGGCUGAAACUCAAAGGAAUUGACGGGGGCCCGCACAAGCGGUGGAGCAUGUGGUUUAAUUCGAAGCUACGCGAAGAACCUUACCAGGUCUUGACAUACUAUGCAAAUCUAAGAGAUUAGACGUUCCCUUCGGGGACAUGGAUACAGGUGGUGCAUGGUUGUCGUCAGCUCGUGUCGUGAGAUGUUGGGUUAAGUCCCGCAACGAGCGCAACCCUUAUUAUCAGUUGCCAGCAUUAAGUUGGGCACUCUGGUGAGACUGCCGGUGACAAACCGGAGGAAGGUGGGGAUGACGUCAAAUCAUCAUGCCCCUUAUGACCUGGGCUACACACGUGCUACAAUGGAUGGUACAACGAGUUGCGAACUCGCGAGAGUAAGCUAAUCUCUUAAAGCCAUUCUCAGUUCGGAUUGUAGGCUGCAACUCGCCUACAUGAAGUCGGAAUCGCUAGUAAUCGCGGAUCAGCAUGCCGCGGUGAAUACGUUCCCGGGCCUUGUACACACCGCCCGUCACACCAUGAGAGUUUGUAACACCCAAAGUCGGUGGGGUAACCUUUUAGGAACCA
rnacentral:rRNA from 2 species